GACGAACGCUGGCGGCGUGCUUAACACAUGCAAGUCGAACGGAAAGGCCCGGCUUUUGUGGGGUGCUCGAGUGGCGAACGGGUGAGUAACACGUGGGUAACCUGCCUUUGACUUUGGGAUAACUUCAGGAAACUGGGGCUAAUACCGGAUAGGAUUUCCUGCUCCAUGGGGGGGGUUUGAAAGUUUGGUCGGUGGGGGCUGUACCCGCGGGGUACCCGCGUGUUGGUGGGGUAGUGGCUUACAAGGGCUUCGACGGGUAGCCGGCGUGAGAGGGUGACCGGCCACAUUGGGACUGAGAGACGGCCCAGACUCCUACGGGAGGCAGCAGGGGGGAAUAUUGCACAAUGGGCGGAAGCCUGAUGCAGCAACGCCGCGUGCGGGAUGACGGCCUUCGGGUUGUAAACCGCUUUCGCCUGUGACGAAGCGUGAGUGACGGUAAUGGGUAAAGAAGCACCGGCUAACUACGUG
rnacentral:rRNA from 1 species